UCUCUCCUUCUCUCUCCCUUCUC
rnacentral:siRNA from 1 species